rnacentral:rRNA from 1 species
AUGCAAGUCGAACGAAGUAGCAAUACUUAGUGGCAGACGGGUGAGUAACAUGUAGGUAUCUACCCUAUGGUUUGGAAUAACACGAGGAAACUUGUGCUAAUACCAAAUAAGUCUUUACGGAGAAAGCUUUAUGCGCCAUUGGAUGAGCCUGCACUUGAUUAGUUUGUUGGUGGGGUAAUGGCCUACCAAGACAAUGAUCAAUAGCUGAUUUGAGAGGAUGAUCAGCCACAUUGGGACUGAGACACGGCCCAAACUCCUACGGGAGGCAGCAGUGGGGAAUCUUGCACAAUGGGGGAAACCCUGAUGCAGCGAUGCCGCGUGAGUGAAGAAGGCCUUUGGGUUGUAAAGCUCUUACGUCGGGGAAGAAAAUGACUGUACCCGAAUAAGAAGGUCCGGCUAACUUCGUGCCAGCAGCCGCGGUAAUACGAAGGGACCUAGCGUAGUUCGGAAUUACUGGGCUUAAAGAGUUCGUAGGUGGUUAAAAAAGUUGGUGGUGAAAUCCCAGAGCUUAACUCUGGAACUGCCAUCAAAACUUUUUAGCUAGAGUAUGAUAGAGGAAAGUAGAAUUUCUAGUGUAGAGGUGAAAUUCGUAGAUAUUAGAAAGAAUACCAAUUGCGAAGGCAGCUUUCUGGAUCAUUACUGACACUGAGGAACGAAAGCAUGGGUAGCGAAGAGGAUUAGAUACCCUCGUAGUCCAUGCCGUAAACGAUGUGUGUUAGACGUUGGAAAUUUAUUUUCAGUGUCGCAGCGAAAGCAGUAAACACACCGCCUGGGGAGUACGACCGCAAGGUUAAAACUCAAAUGAAUUGACGGGGACCCGCACAAGUAGUGGAGCAUGUGGUUUAAUUCGAAGAUACGCGCAGAACCUUACCAACACUUGACAUGUUCGUCGCGACUUUAAGA